GGUGAGAUGAAGUUAGGCUGUGUCAGAUGGGAGCUUGUCCGUGUGUGUGUAUGGGGGUGUGUGUGAGUGUGUGUGUGAGUGUGUGUGUGGAUAGAUGUAUUACAUCACGGAGGUGUAUGGAUACACGUAUGCCUGUACCUACACUGAAAAGGCAAUAAAUACAAUACAUCAUAUGUAUGUUAGGAUGCCAUAUAUAUUCCUUUUCCC
rnacentral:lncRNA from 1 species